rnacentral:ncRNA from 2 species
AACCAACCACACGGGAGCGCACAACGAGUGCGCUGAGAGGACGGCUGACGGCCGUCGACCGUAGAACCUGUCCGGGUAAUGCCGGCGUAGGGAGUGAAAUGACUGAUCUG